UACGUAGGCAGCGAGCGUUGUUCGGAAUUACUGGGCGUAAAGAGUGUGUAGGCGGUGUUCCCAGUCUGUUGUGAAAUCUCCCGGCUUAACUGGGAGGGUGCAGCGGAAACUAUAGGUCUUGAAUACUGUGGAGGUCAGCGGAAUAUGUCAUGUAGCGGUGAAAUGCUUAGAUAUGACAUAGAACACCAAUUGCGAAGGCAGCUGGCUACACAAAUAUUGACACUGAGGCACGAAAGCGUGGGGAUCAAACAGG
rnacentral:rRNA from 1 species